rnacentral:rRNA from 1 species
UACGUAGGUCCCGAGCGUUGUCCGGAUUUAUUGGGCGUAAAGCGAGCGCAGGUGGUUUAUUAAGUCUGGUGUAAAAGGCAGUGGCUCAACCAUUGUAUGCAUUGGAAACUGGUAGACUUGAGUGCAGGGGAGGAGAGUGGAAUUCCAUGUGUAGCGGUGAAAUGCGUAGAUAUAUGGAGGAACACCGGUGGCGAAAGCGGCUCUCUGGCCUGUAACUGACACUGAGGCUCGAAAGCGUGAGGAGCAAACAGG